rnacentral:tRNA from 1 species
GACGCGGUAGCUCAGCUGGUAGAGCACAGGACUGAAAAUCCUGGUGUCCUCGGUUCGACUCCGAGCCGCGUCACCA